rnacentral:rRNA from 1 species
UACGUAGGGUGCGAGCGUUAAUCGGAAUUACUGGGCGUAAAGCGUGCGCAGGCUGUUCUGUAAGUCAGAUGUGAAAUCCCCGAGCUCAACUUGGGAACUGCGUUUGAAACUACAGGACUAGAAUAUGUCGAGAGGGGGGUAGAAUUCCACGUGUAGCAGUGAAAUGCGUAGAGAUGUGGAGGAAUACCAAUGGCGAAGGCAGCCCCCUGGGAUAAUAUUGACGCUCAUGCACGAAAGCGUGGGGGAGCAAACCAGG